UGUCCUCUUUUGUACCCCACACGAGUUCUUCAACAGUAGGCAAUCUGCGUAAAGUGUCGAAACUGGAAAUAAUAUUGCCCUUCAAGGUCAAAAGCAGUAGAUUAAUUCUAUAAAAUAAACAAAGGAAAAAGUAGAAAGGUGUUAUAAUUCGCUGCUAAAGAGACAGCAUUACUGUAGAUAAACUACUUUAGCUUCACUAGCAACUUCUGCAGUCUUCCACUGCGUCUCUGGUCCAAAAAUAUUUUACACUGCAUUAUAGUCGAGAUCUGGAUUUAUAUAGCGUUUUUCGCGAUAUAUUAGUCAUACUUAUUUUAACAACGAGACAUGUCUUAACAUAAUUU
rnacentral:lncRNA from 1 species